GCCGCGGACAGCCAUCCACCAUCCUCCCAGGGCAGUGGAAGGAUGUGGUGGCUCCGGCUAACCAGCGAUAGAAGAUGCUGGCCUGGAGUUCCUGUUGGAUGUUGUCGACAGGUUUCCAGUCCGGGGAGAGUUUGGGACAGCUUGGACCAACCAGAUCUGGUUCCUCUGGCGGUCCUUCCGCGGAUUGCUGACACGAGCGCUGAGCCGGCUCACUCGAAUGCCGGCUACUGGUGCGGCCAGCGUGUUGGCGGCGCUAGCCAGGGUAGGCCGCAGGGCGACGGGCGCCGGCGGCGGGAGGCAGUCGGCAGAGUCGACAGACAGGGUGAAUCCGGAGGCGCCUGGAUGGACAAAAAGAUUACAUCUUGGGAGUGCGCUGCCGGACAGAAAACAGUGUCCAUCUUGGAUGAGUGCCCUAGAGCAGUCAACUCGCAAGUAUGCAGAGGAAGCGAUGAAAAGUGUAGUUUGUCCUGAACUAUGUCUUAGUUUCUACUCACUUGGCGAGGCGUACGACUUGUACAAUAUGUAUUCGUGAGAGAUCGGAUUACGGAUAAGGUAUGACAAGCGCCCUGUAAUGGUGUCAAUCCUCCAAGGCUCCAACCCCCAGGUUUGGCUUUAUCUGCCUUAUUUUCUUUUGUUCCUUCUGGAUGAUACUUAGUGAUUUAGUGCAUGGAUGCACAACAGGGAGAUUGGAUGCUAGAUUUGCUAAGUUCUGUGAACAUGUUAGAUGGAACUAAAUUAAGCAUGCUAUUUGCUGAUUUUUUUUCUCAUAUGCACACACUAACGGUGGCUACAUGGUCGCUAAUUGAAAUUCUUUCUUGAUGUAAAUUGUAUCUGGAACAGCCAAAUAGGGAAAUUAGUGUUUGUUUUUUCUGAUGGAACAGAGAAACCACAUGAUGCAUGGAUGGGGAAAAAAAUCUUAGUAUUGGCCACCUCCUUCGUUGCAAAAUUUCAGACUCCCAAACACGAUGACAGAAUGUCGUGGCUACUGAAUGUGUUGGUCCUGCUGUAUUUAGCUACCUGUUAUACUACUAUAACUACCAUAUCUGGCUAUUAGAUUCCAUCUUAGGACCAAGUUCGCAUUUGAGGAACAAUAUAUGAACAUGCACCAAUGAAAAGUGUGGUAAUUUACCUGCGGUGGCAGUUAAUUAUUAUUAAUGCGUGAAAUCAUGCCAAUCAAACUGGACAGCUCAUCCUAGGAUAAAUUAGGAUAUCAAUUUGUAAUCCUUUGUGCAUUACCAUAGAGUGUAUUUAUCAACAUGGACAGCAUGAGCGUACAAUUAUUAGCGUAUAUGAAAAUUUACUUGACCUUUAUAUUAGUUUUCUUAGUAUUUUUCUUUUAAAGAAGUUUAUGCUCUUAAUUAUCAUCAUUCCUCUUAUUAGACCGAAGAUUUAAGAGAUAGAGUCCACUAGAAAGUGCUCGAGGAGGAUUGUUUGGGGGGUUCUACAAUUUUCUUGGUAAUAUGCAAUGGUAAAUAUAACUGAAUAUUCUGCCAAUUUUGUCACAAAAUGAUAUAACUGUAUGAGAACUACUAUAUAUCUACUGUAAUCACCCUGUUAUUUUUGUCUCUUUCAUUCUUUUCGAAAUCCUUUGUGGAUUUCAGUAACUAUAUGAGAACCAGAUGAAGUGUUUGCACCUUUGAUUCAUCUUUUUGCCUCACACCGGUGCAAAAAUCACAUUAAUUUCCCCCUGCUAUUACCAAUAUCAUGAAUAUCUGUAGGGUCCUCUGGGUAGAGCACACCAAUUAAAUCAACGUGAAGACAGUCUCCUACAGGAAGAUGAGUUCCUCUUCAGUUCCAUGUAAAUUUAUUACAGCGAGGAGGUCAUCAUCAUGUCUAAACUGCGGACGGGAAAGUCAGCAUCACCUCACCUUUUGUUGAGUAGCAACAAUCGAGUAGUGGUAGUCAGCUUCAAAUCAUUUGAUGUUUAGGUUCCGAUUCUCUCUUAUCUGAAUUGUUGCAUGCAGCUUUCAGUUUGUAGCAGGUUUCCUUCUUAUUACUACCAUCUUGCACAUUUAUAUAUGUGUGUGUUUACAUAAAUUCA